UGGUAUAGAAGUAAAAAAACUAACUGAUGAGAAAGAAAACAUAUGCGAAGAGAUAAAUAAACUAACUAACGAUAAGGAAAGUAUAUAUAAAGAAAUAAAUAAACUAACAGACGAAUGGAAAAGCAUGUGCGAAGAAAUAAAAAAGUUAAAUCAUGAGAGAGAAAAAUUUGGUAUGGAAGUAAAAAAACUAACUGACGAAAAGAAAAACAUUUACGAAGAGAUAAAUGCUGUACACAAUGACAAAGACUUAGUACAUAAUAAUAUAGAAACGUUAAAUAAUGAUAUAAAUAAAUUAGAAGAGAAAAAAAAUGAAUUAAAUAAAGAAAUUACUACUCUUAGCAAUAUAAUUAAUAAUUUAAAAACUGAGAACAUCAAAUAUAAUAAUGUUGUAACAAAAUUAAAAAAUCAAGAAAAAACAAAAAGUGAUGAAAUAGGAGAAAAAAAACAAUUACUACUAGAACAAAAUGGAAAGUAUCAGAACAAUGUAGAUAUAUUAAAUGAGAAUUUGAAAGAGGUAAUGGAAAUUUGUUAUAAUAGUAAUACAGGUGAACACUAUAACACAGGUGCUUCUAUAACAAACGUAGAUGACCGUUAUUACAAAACAGAAUUGAACAAUUUAAAGUUUGCAUUAGACAUAAAAGAAAAAGAGUAUAAACAAAUGAAAGAGGAUUAUGAAAGUAAACUAGAAGAAUUAAAAAAAGAUAUAGAAAAAAAGGAAAACAAUUAUGAUAAAGAGUUAAGUGACGUUUAUAUAAAAAUACAUGAAAAUGAAAAAAUGUUUAAACAUGAAAAAGAAAAAUUAGAAUUAGAAAAAUUACAAAACGAAGAAACGUUGAUUAAGCGUGUUAAUGAAAAAAAAGAUUUAUUAAAAUGUAUUUUUAAUAAAUUAAAUAUUUUAUAUGAUGAUGAUAUGAAAAGUGAGGAAUUUAUAGAAUUAGUGAAUAAAUACGUUAGUACAAAUGGCGGUUAUAAUUACAGUAAUAGCAAGAGUAACAACAUUAAUAAUGAUAAUUUAAGCCAUGAUGAAAAUGAUGUGAACGCAUCAAGCAUACAAGAUACAUACUGUGACGACAAAAAACAGUAUAGCAUAAAAAAUGAAGAAAUAAAAAAAAAAAAUAAGUCAAAUAAAGAAGUGUUAAUAACAGAAAAAGAAGUAGAAGAAAGAAAGAAAAAAAAAACACUGUUGCAAAAAGAACUACUUUUAAAAAAACAACAAUUUAACGAAUCUAAUAAAAAAAUACAAGAGUUAGAAAAUAAAAUUAAUACUACGAACGCUUAUAUUACUUUUUAUGAAAAAAGUUAUUCAAGUAGUAAAGUAAAUUUAUACAUACAAAAACUUGAUAAAAUUAGUUUAUCAGUAAGCGAUACGGAGAGUAUUACAUAUGUAGAAGAAGAGUUGAAAGAAGAUAAGAUAGAUAGUAAAAUGGUAAAAAAACAAAUUGAAGAUAAUUAUGACAUUAGUGAUGCCACUGCGGCGGAUGUUGGGACUGUUAAUGUGACUACUGGUAAUGUGAAAACUGGUAAUGUGACUAUUGGUAAUGUGACUACUGGUAAUGUGACUACUGGUAAUGUGACUACUGGUAAUGAAAGCAUUACUACUGCAACUUCUGCUAAUGCAGUUACUACUACCGUUGAUAGUAUGUAUAAUAAUAACAGUAAACAUCCCCAGGAAUUUGCACAUCAAAAAGAGCGUAUAUCCGAGACAUAUAACGAGGUCCUAUCAGACUCAGAUAAAGAUAGCAUAUUACUUUCUGAUAAAGAGCGAAUGGAUGAAUUUGCUGAAGAACAUAUAACAAACGAUUUAUGUGUUGAAAAAAAAAAAAACUUUAAAACAUUUUUUGCGUUACAAUUACGUAAAAUAAAAGGGAAAAAGAAACUCGGAAAUAAUAGCAAAAGCAAAAUCUCAAAUAACAACAGUGUUAUUAAUAUCGAUAAUACGAGUAACAAUAAUACAACCAGUAAUAAUACAACCAGCAAUAAUACAAUUAGCAAUAAUACAACUAGCAAUAAUACAACUAGCAAUAAAACGAAUAUUUGUGACAAAUCCUUAUCAAACGAUACUUAUAAAAAUUCAAAGAGUAGUUCAAUAGAAACACACGAAAUUGCUAAGUAUAAAAAAGCAUUAGUCAAAAAAAACAUUUUGGUUGAUGAAUUAAAAAAUCGAAUACAUACACUGACGAGCGAAAUAAUUGAUUUGAAAAAUACUAAAAAUGAGAUGAAAGAAACAAAUAAUAAUUUAAAACGAAAGCAAGCACAAACCAAAUAUAUAAAAAAAAAGUUAGUACAGACAGUAGCAAAAGAAAAAGAAAAAAUCAAAGAAAAAAUAAGCCACUCAAAAAGUGAAUUAGUAAAAUUAAAUGAUGAUAUUGUAGUGUUAAAAAAAAAAAGAAAUAUAUUAAAAGAAGACUUAGAAAACAUAACAGAGCAAUUAAUAAAAUUAGAAAAAGAAGAAGAGUUAAGUAUUAAAUUCAGACAAUAUAUAGAAAAUAUAAAAAAAGAAUUAUUAACAAACGAAAACAAAUAUAUGUUAAAAAUAAAUGAAGAUAAUAGUAUUAUACAAAACUUGAAAAAUGUAAUUAUUGAAAAUGAAAGUAAUAUACAAAUUUUAACAAAUGAAAAAAAACAAUAUAUAAACGAAUUAAAUAUCAUAAAAAAUGAGUAUGAUAUUUUAAAAUUAGAAGCCAGCGAAUUAACAAAUAAAUAUAACAUGAUUUAUUUAAAUAAUGAGAAAUGUUCUAACAGCGUUGAUAGUGUAAAUGAAAAAUCCAGUACAGAAACAGCGAAUUUUAACAAAAGUAAUAACAAACAAAACGUUAAUAAAUAUAUAAUGGAAAUAAAUGAUUUAAAAAAUGAAAUAAAUAAAUUGAGUUUGUUAUAUAGCAAUGAAAUAAAUGAUAAAAAUAAAUAUGACAUAAAGGUCAACGAAUUAACAAAUAAACUAAAAGAAUUUGAAAAUAUUGAUCGAAAUAAUAAAGAAAAGAUAACCGAGCUUACUAAAGCGAAUGAAAAACUAAAAAUAAAAGACAAGUUUGGAAAAAAAAAAGAAUACAACAUGUUGGCAAAGAGUAAAACGGUAGUGAAUGACUUAAUAAAUGGCUCAUCAGUAAAUGAUCCAACAAUAAAUGAUUCAACGAUGUAUGAUUCAACGAUGAAUGAUUCAACCUUAAAUGAUUCAACUAUGAAUGACACAACGAUAAAUAAUUUAUCGUUAAAUGAAAUGUCGUUUGGAAUUGCAACGGGAUCACCAGUGCCACAUGAAAACAACAGUGUCUAUGCAACCGAGUUAAUGUAUAAUAAUAUAAAUAAGACUAGAAAUGAAGUAUCAAUAUCAAAUGUAGAAAACAAAAAUUUAACUAAUAACACUUUUAACGAUUUAAAAAAAAAUAAUUUUCAAUUAAUGAAAAUUGUACAUGAAAAUAAAAAAAAUAAUAAAAUAAUAGGGACUUAUUUAUAUUCUGAAAAGAUAGAGAGUAUAUAUAAUUUAAAAAAUGAUAAUUAUGCAUGUAUACAAGAUAAUAAUAACAACUGUUGUUUAGUUCUUUGUAUACAAUUAUGUGAAUUAUUAAAUGUUUUGUUUUUAAAUAAUAAUUAUGUAAAAAAAUUUGAAAAAAUCAAUAAAAGUGUAUGGAAGCAUAUGUUCAUACCUGAAGAAAUUAAGUUUUUUUUUCUCAAGUAUUUUCACUUUUUG
ensembl:lncRNA